rnacentral:lncRNA from 1 species
AAAAACACCUUGAUAAGGGGUUAAAAGAAAUGGAAUUUGGAAUACAGAAUCCAGGACUUUGAAGGCGAUGUACAGCCACAGGAGGGAUUUUCUGAGAUGUGAAUACCUGAGCAUGUUUGAGGGCGGAAAGGAAGGAGCAGCGGAGAGGCACACGAGACGGCAAAAGAAAAAAAAUAAGAGAUGAAGCAAAGUUCUAAGUAGAUAGGUGGAUAUGGAUCUAAGAGUAAAAGUGGAUCAGGACACCACAGAAAAGAGGAAACACUUGCCUUCCAUUCAGAAAUAAAAGAAAACAAUGAGAUGGAGUACAAUUUAUAUGAAUUUUGAAGAAGUUAACUCGAGCCAAUCAUUUAGCAGGUGAAGGAAUUCACUCCUUAUAUUAGUCU